UACGUAGGGUGCGAGCGUUAAUCGGAAUUACUGGGCGUAAAGCGUGCGCAGGCGGUCUGUUAAGACCGAUGUGAAAUCCCCGGGCUUAACCUGGGAACUGCAUUGGUGACUGGCAGGCUUUGAGUGUGGCAGAGGGAGGUAGAAUUCCACGUGUAGCAGUGAAAUGCGUAGAGGUGUGGAGGAACACCGAUGGCGAAGGCAGCCCCCUGGGCUAACACUGACGCUCAUGCACGAAAGCGUGGGGAGCAAACAGG
rnacentral:rRNA from 1 species